rnacentral:rRNA from 1 species
AGGACGAACGCUGGCGGCGUGCUUAACACAUGCAAGUCGAGCGGAAAGGCCCUUCGGGGUACUCGAGCGGCGAACGGGUGAGUAACACGUGAGCAAUCUGCCCUUAGCUUCGGGAUAGCCCCGGGAAACCGGGAUUAAUACCGAAUAUGACCUCGGCCGACAUCGGCUUUAGGUGGAAAGUUUUUUCGGCUAGGGAUGAACUCGCGGCCUAUCAGCUUGUUGGUGGGGUAAUGGCCUACCAAGGCGACGACGGGUAGCCGGCCUGAGAGGGCGACCGGCCACACUGGGACUGAGACACGGCCCAGACUCCUACGGGACGGCAGCAGUGGGGAAUAUUGCGCAAUGGGCGAAAGCCUGACGCAGCGACGCCGCUGGGGGAUGAAGGCCUCGGUUGUAAACCCUUUCCUAGCAGGACGAAGCGAGAGUGACGGUACCUGCAGAAGAAGCGCCGGCUAACUACGCGCCAGCAGCCGC